GCCUCUCGCCCGGGCGCAGGCGCCGCCGUGGGCCCGCGGCGGAGGCAGCUCGCCCCGGCACGGCGGCUCAAUGCGCUGCCAGGUUUCGGUGCUGUAUUUCGCCAGGAGCGCGGAGCUGGCGGGGCUGCGCUGCGAGACCCUCUCGGUGCCACGGGAGAUCACCUCUCUGCAGCUCUGGGAGGAGAUCGUCAAGGUCCACCCCAGGCUUGCUGUCAUCCGGGAUCAAGUGGUAUUUGCUGUUCGGCAGGAGUACGUGCUUCUUGGAGAUCAGCUUCUGGUCCUGCAGCCUGGAGACGAGAUUGCCAUCAUCCCACCAAUUAGUGGAGGCUGAACCUGCCCAGGUUCUCUUAGUUUUUCUGUUGUGAUAUGGAAGAAAGCGAAGACGUGCCAAAAGAUUUUAUCAAGCUCAAGUCUGAAAAGCUCUCUGUUGAUGAAGUGUCAGAGCUGGUUGUUUCACCAUACUGUGGGGCAGUGUCUCUGUUCGUUGGUACUACAAGAAAUAAUUUUGAAGGAAAAAAAGUGAUUCACUUAGAAUAUGAAGCAUAUACUUCAAUGGCAGAAACUGAAAUGAAGAAAAUCUGCAGAGAUGUUAGACAGAAAUGGCCUUCAGUCAAACAUAUUGCAGUGCACCACAGACUUGGUGUGGUUCCAGUAACUGAAGCAAGUGUAAUUAUUGCAGUCUCCUCUCCACACAGAGCAGAAUCCCUUGAAGCUGUAAUGUACUGCAUCAAUACCUUAAAAGCAUCUGUCCCAAUAUGGAAAAAGGAGAUUUAUGAGGAUGAAUAUUCUUGGAAAGAAAACAAGGAAUGCUUUUGGGCAAAUUCAGAAAAAUAAUUGUACUCUUUUGAAAAUAAAGUGUCACUCUUCCUAAUGAGCAUAGUUACUUUUGAGUUUUUACAGAGAAUCUCUGUUUCUAAACGAUCCAAUAGAUAUUUAAAUCUCAAUCAUUUAGUUUGGACUGAGUGAAGUGAAUAAAGAUUAAUUAGGGAUUUUAGGUGUCUUGACUGUCCUUUGGAAUUGCCUUUUUGUGCAUUUUAACAUGGAGUUGGUUUUUAAAAGAAUCUUCCCUAAAAUUCUUUGUUGCAGCGUUUAGACUACUCUGUGAUAAAUACUGUUCUAAUGCUUUUACUUUGCUGGUCUGUGUUCUCUGUCUGCAUGGGAGGUCAGCAUGGGACAAUUAAAGUUCAGAGAGGUUUAAUUUUAUAUGACUACAGAAUUAAGUUUGCAAGCUUUAUGCUAUUUUGGCAUUCUUCUAAUGUGAAAGGUACUUGAAGUAGAUGAACUAUUUUAGUGCAAAGAAAAUAUAAACUAUACCCCAGAGUUACUAACUGUUUAGUAGUGCUUAUGUUCCAGCAGCUCUGUCUCACAGAAUGAUUUUUACCAUGCAGAUGGUAUUACGAGUCCAUUACAUUAAAAAUAUAUGAAUAGAGAUUGAUUCAAAAUUAAAGCUAGUACUCUACCAGCAAAAAUAAUUGCCUUAGCAAUAACAUGUCAAUCUGUAACUACUUAAUGAUGUCUAGACAAAAUUUUGAAGGUGACUUUUUGGUUGUGUAGUUGUGUGGUGCUCCACGAAUUAAAACCCAAACCAAAUAUUAAUUACAAAUACACAACAAUGGUGUAAUUAGCUUCAGUAAUUUGACUUCAUAUGUGUGGGGAUUAAAAGUCUUCAAAUGGAAUAGUUUUUCAAAGAAAAGGGAGUUUAUUGAACUUGCUGCAAUUCAUAUAUGCAUUUAUAUUCACAUUUAAGAUUUAAUCUUAUUACAGUUUUUCUCUUGUUACUGUUUUGAAAACUGGUUAAAUGAACUGACAUAAUAUGCUUGGGUUUCACUGGAAAUAUCAGGUUACCUGUCUGAGCAAGGUAAUUUUAUUUGUUAUUCUACAUUGCCAUGGUAGUGUUUAGAUGUUAAGAGUUUGAAGUCCCAUUGUGUAUGGCAUUUCUGCUAAUGCUGAGAGGCAGUGUUACCUAGUUAUCAUUAUCAGUGUAGACAAGCUAGAUAAAAGUGAAGGAAAAUAAGGUAAUGCAAAAUUAUUUGCUCAGUUGCUCAUAUAUCUGUUUCUACAUCAUAUAUAGUUAUUUAUAAUCCAGGUGGCAAGGUCAUACUCCUGAGUCAGAGCAAUCCUAAUCACAAAUACAAGCUGGAGGGAGAGUGGAUCAAGACUUGCACUGGGGAGAAGCACUUGACGGUAUUUGUGAACAAAAAGCUCAGUAUGAGCUGGCAACGUGCACUUGCAGCCCAGAAAUCCGGUUCUGUCCUGGGCUGCAUCAAAAGCAAUGGGGCCAGCAGGUCAAAGGGUUUGAUUGUGCUCCUCUGCUGUGCUCUCAAGAGACCCCACUGGAGCACUGCACCUGGUUCUGGAGCCCCCAGCUCAAGAAGUGUUGCUGUUAUGAGUCCAGAGGAGGGCCACUAAGUUCAUCUAAGAGGACUAUAACACGCCUCCUAUGAAGACAGGCUGGGAGCUUGGGUUUUUCAGCUUGCAGAAGGUUCCAGGGAAACCUUACAUCACCUUUCAGUACCUAAAGGGGCCUGACAAUAAGUUUGGAGGGGGAAUUAUCACAACAACAUGUAGUGAUAGGACAAGGGGGAAUGCCUUUAAGCUGAUCUGAGGGUAGGUUUAGAUCAGCUAUUAGGAAGAAAUUCUUUACUGUGAGGGGGGUGAAGCAUUGGCACAAGUUGCCCAAAUAAGCUGUGGAUGCCGCUUCCCUGGAAAUGUUCAAGGUCAGCCUGCAUAGGGCUGUGAGUAACCUGGUCUAGUGGAAGGUGUCCCAGCCUCUUAUCAGGACAGCUGCAACUAGAUAAUCUGUAAGGUCCCUUUCAAACCAAACCAGUCUUUGAUUCUGUAAUCAUUACAUCACGCACCAGUGAAGCCUCAGCUGUAUAUUCCAUUUUAUUCUGUCUGCAGUAAAAAUCUACUAACAGUUUCUAGCUGCAUAAAGUAAAAUGAGGACAUUAGGUGAUGAUCUUUUCCCCCCCCAGGGAUUUGAAUCACUUUUAAUGCUUAGUUACUGUAUCUGAAAUAAAUUGUAAAGAAACAUACAGCUUCAGGCAGAGACAUCAUUUAACUGUGCUUAUUAACUUACUGAUGUACUUUCCUCAAGUGUAACUCAGUCCUUCAUCUGCAGGACAGCAGCUGCUCCUUGCGUGUUUGCAGAUGCACACUCUACAAGCCAUGUGGGCUCUAUUAUCUAGGCAGAGCUGGUCAAGUACAAGACUGAGUUUUCCUUUAUUUUGGAGGUUGGAGAGAAGCCCUCUGCUGUUUGAGUGUAAUUUUUCAUAGGAAUUGUACAGAAUACAAUCACUUGCUCUGUGAAACAAUUAUUUUUCACUUUAGAAGAGAAAGAAAUACAUGAACUUUUUCAUAUUUGGUGUUCAUUUUUCCAUGUUUAUGUUUCCUGUUACCAUGCAACUAAUUAGUGUGUUUAAUUUCACAAAAAUAAAUGUUCAGCUUGUU